GUCUACGGCCAUGCCACUCUGAACAUGCCCAAUCUCGUCUGAUCUUGGAAGCUAAGCAGGGUCGAGCCUGGUUAGUACUUGGGUGGGAGACCACCGAGGAAGACCAGGUGCUGUAGGCA
rnacentral:rRNA from 1 species